AACAAACGCUGGCGGUAUGCUUAACACAUGCAAGUCGAACGAACAAUCUUGGAGCUUGCUUCAAGUGCGUGAGUGGCAAACGGGUGAGUAACACGUGGGAAUCUACCCAUCAGUACGGAAUAACAUUUGGAAACAGAUGCUAAUACCGUAUAUUCUCUAAGGAGGAAAGAUUUAUCGCUGAUGGAUGAGCCCGCGCAAGAUUAGGUAGUUGGUGGGGUAAUGGCCUACCAAGCCGACGAUCUUUAGCUGGUCUGAGAGGAUGAUCAGCCACACUGGGACUGAGACACGGCCCAGACUCCUACGGGAGGCAGCAGUGGGGAAUAUUGGACAAUGGGCGAAAGCCUGAUCCAGCAAUACCGCGUGAAUGAUGAAGGCCUUAGGGUUGUAAAGUUCUUUUAGUGGGGAAGAUAAUGACGGUACCUACAGAAAAAGCCCCGGCUAACUCCG
rnacentral:rRNA from 1 species